AAGGUUAGUUUUAUGAGUUUAUGUGUCUAAAGAAACCGAUUGAAAACAGAGCAGUGUUGUCUACCAUUGAUAGGGUUGAUGGUGAAGUGUUUGUUCUGGGUUUUGUGUUUAAGGACUCGAGAUUGUGUCUGCGUGGAUUUGGUUUUGUCUGAGAAAUAUCUGAGAUUAGUAGUAGACUGUAGAGAUUGAGGAUGAAGAAUCAAUCUUUAGACGCUUUUGGUGAUAUGGUUGAAACUAAUUAAAGGAGAGUUUUUUGUUUGUUUCAAAUGUGUUCAUGGAGCACAUUCUAUCUAGGUAUGAAUACAACUGCUAAGACUGAACAACAACUUCUACUUUGUUCUUCUGAAGAUAAUGGUGAUGUGGUAUGUGUAUCUAUUAUCUAUAAGCAGUGAACAAAGGGGGAUGGAACCAAUGAGGAGAGCCAGUUGAUGUGGUGACAAAGCCAGGACAUGCUGCUCUUUUGAUCAAAUUAUGAUACACAACAAAUUUGUUUCGUGCAGAUUAUUACGUCACAUGAUCAGAGAAACAGCAGCUCACAUAUGAGAACUGAUACAUAGAGAAAUGUCUCACCAAUGGAUUUUUGGAGGCUCUCCUUCUGCACAUGUUAAUCUUGGUAACUGGUUUUAUUCCUCAUCUCCUGCAAUUAUAUUUGUAUGACUGUAUUAGAUCAUAUUACUACCAAUCUUCUUCCCAAGAAUGGCUUUAUUGUUGUUCAAGAAAUGUUCUUAUAUGUGCUUCUAUUUUAUGUCUUCAUUUUAGGUUCCAGAAAAUUGUUCCUCUUAACGCAAGUAAUGUACUUGGAGCUGAAGACAAUGGUCCUGCCCAAAACAUGACACUCCCUCAUAAGGAAAACGCUCAACAGCCUCCCUGGGACAAGCGGUGCUGUCCCCAAUGCAGAGAUUGAUGCUAAUUUUCUCUGGAUCUUCGAGUCAGAAGAAAGCGACUUUCUUACAUAGGGACUUUCCAGCCCCUGAGCAUGGAGAAUGGAUGACCAGGAUCCUUUAGUUCUGCCAUCGUUUUAGCGUCUAUGAUCACGUGUUCUUCAGUCAUAGACCAAGUGAAGAAAUUGUAUUGGGAGUUUUAAAGCUGCAAAAUAGUUCUAGCAAAGCUUAAAAAAAUCUUCGGGUAUUGAGGUCCAUUUUGAUGAUCAAACAUGUCUAACAAUAUCAGAUACAAAUCAGAAAGAUGUCUUCACAUGCUGUUGCCUAUUUUAGAAAUGAACCAGUCAUAGAAUUGGAAAUCUAAUUAUGGUAUUGGUUAUAUUGGAUGACUACAAUUCGACAUGUUUAUGUUCAAGCUGUAAAACAGCAAUACAAGAUUACUUUGUUGUAUGAAAUGCUUUUUCUUAUUUAGAGUGAAAGCUAUAAGCACAAGUUGUGAAAUGUUUUUUUAGAUAGCAUGUAUGUAUAGUAGUAUAACUCAAUUGUAAUUUUAUUUUCACUAUACACUGAAACAGUUUAAAUGUAACUUUUUAAUGUAUCUUACUAUUUCUCUCGAAUUUUAUAUAAAAUUAUU